AUACUUACCUGGCAGGGGUGAUACAAUGAUCAAGAAGGUUGUUUGCCCAGGGCGAGGCUCGGCCAUUGCACAUCCGGUCGUGCUGACCCCUGCGAAUUCCUCAAAUGUGGGAAUCUCGACUGCACAAUUUCUGUUAGUGGGGGACUGCGUUCGCGCUCUCCCCUG